rnacentral:rRNA from 1 species
GAUGAACGCUGGCGGCGUGCUUAACACAUGCAAGUCGAACGAAGCACUUAUGACAGAUUCUUCGGAUGAUGGAUUAAAUGACUGAGUGGCGGACGGGUGAGUAACGCGUGGGUAACCUGCCUCAUACAGGGGGAUAACAGUUAGAAAUGACUGCUAAUACCGCAUAAGCGCACGGUAUUGCAUGAUACAGUGUGAAAAACUCCGGUGGUAUGAGAUGGACCCGCGUCUGAUUAGCUAGUUGGUGGGGUAACGGCCUACCAAGGCGACGAUCAGUAGCCGGCCUGAGAGGGUGAACGGCCACAUUGGGACUGAGACACGGCCCAAACUCCUACGGGAGGCAGCAGUGGGGAAUAUUGCACAAUGGGGGAAACCCUGAUGCAGCGACGCCGCGUGAGCGAUGAAGUAUUUCGGUAUGUAAAGCUCUAUCAGCAGGGAAGAAAAUGACGGU